UACGGGGGGAGCAAGCGUUGUUCGGAAUUACUGGGCGUAAAGGGCGCGUAGGCGGCCUUCUAAGUCAUGCGUGAAAUCCCCGGGCUCAACCCGGGAACUGCGUCUGAUACUGGAAGGCUUGAAUCCGGGAGAGGGAUGCGGAAUUCCAGGUGUAGCGGUGAAAUGCGUAGAUAUCUGGAGGAACACCGGUGGCGAAGGCGGCAUCCUGGACCGGCAUUGACGCUGAGGCGCGAAAGCUAGGGGAGCAAACGGG
rnacentral:rRNA from 1 species